GGAUAACCCGGAGAAAUCCGGCCUAAUACCGCAUGUGGCCGAGGGGAGGCAUCUUCUUUCGGCCAAAGGAGGCGACUCCGGAGACGGAUGGGCAUGCGUGACAUUAGCUUGUUGGCGGGGUAACGGCCCACCAAGGCGACGAUGUCUAGGGGUUCUGAGAGGAAGGUCCCCCACACUGGUACUGAGACACGGACCAGACUCCUACGGGAGGCAGCAGUGAGGAAUAUUGGUCAAUGGGCGAGAGCCUGAACCAGCCAAGUCGCGUGAAGGAUGACGGCCCUACGGGUUGUAAACUUCUUUUGUCAGGGAGCAAUUGAGUCCACGUGUGGGCUUAGCGAGAGUACCUGAAGAAAAAGCAUCGGCUAACUCCGUGCCAGCAGCCGCGGUAAUACGGAGGAUGCGAGCGUUAUCCGGAUUUAUUGGGUUUAAAGGGUGCGUAGGCGGAAUAUCAAGUCAGCGGUAAAAAUUCGGGGCUCAACCCCGUCGUGCCGUUGAAACUGAUGUUCUUGAGUGGGCGAGAAGUAUGCGGAAUGCGUGGUGUAGCGGUGAAAUGCAUAGAUAUCACGCAGAACUCCGAUUGCGAAGGCAGCAUACCGGCGCCCAACUGACGCUGAAGCACGAAAGCGUGGGUAUCGAACAGGAUUAGAUACCCUGGUAGUCCACGCAGUAAACGAUGAAUACUAAUUGUCCGGA
rnacentral:rRNA from 1 species